UAAGACGGAGGGUGCAAGCGUUGUUCGGAAUUACUGGGCGUAAAGGGCGCGUAGGCGGUCCGCUAAGUUCGGUGUGAAAUCCCCCGGCUCACCUGGGGAAUUGCGUCGGAAACUGACGGACUAGAGUACCGGAGAGGAAGGUGGAAUUCCUGGUGUAGCGGUGAAAUGCGUAGAUAUCAGGAGGAACACCGGUGGCGAAGGCGGCCUUCUGGACGGAUACUGACGCUGAGGCGCGAAAGCGUGGGGAUCAAACAGGAUUAGAUACCCUGGUAGUCCACGCUGUAAACGAUGGGAACUAGGUGUGGGGGGUAUUGACCCUCCCGUGCCGUCGCUAACGCACUAAGUUCCCCGCCUGGGGAUUACGGCCGCAAGGUUA
rnacentral:rRNA from 1 species